AUCCUUGCCACCUGCUUUGGGAUUCUCCUUGCCUGGUUCAUUCUGAAAUGAGGUGGCUGGAAGCCUUACAUCAAGAGGAAUGGGGCCACCGUGACCAGAGUGCCCACCUUUGAACUGCAGGCAACAACGUGAACCUCUUUCCAGCAUGAAAUGUUCUAUGAAGACCUUUGUAUGGAAGACCUGGCUUCAUUGACCAGGCACCCACUGAGGGACAUUCGAGUUACAUCCAGUUUGAGAUGGAGAAACAUGGGGCAGAGACGUGACACAGCCCGUAAGGAGAAAGCCGGGAUUGAUCUCCCAUCUGUUUGACUCAGGACUUUUUCAUUUAGAAUAGGAAAUAUUAAUAUUAAAAUUGUUAUAUUAAAUAGUAAAGCUGGAGAACGCUCCAGAUCCCCUAAGCCAAUCCCCUCGCCUGACAAGGCCCAGAGUGGAAGGGACUUGCCCAAGGACAUACAGCAGGAUGGUGACAGAGCAGAGCCGGGGCUCCAGGCUCCUGAUGGCCACUCAGGAGCCAGAUGCCCGGUGCCCAGGGGUAAGGAGGCCUCUCCCAUUGGGAGGAGCCGGGGAGCUUAUGGGGGUGUGAGCAUCUCUGCAGCCCCGACCCAGGCCAGGUGCCAGGAGAAGCCACUGUUGUCACCGGCCACUGCAAUUACUCCUUUUGUCCAUAAUUCUACGUGUGGGUCUGCUCCCAACUCCUGCCUGGAUUUUCCUCCCUGCAGCUGCCCUCAGUGCCAAGGAAGGGUGACCAAAAGUGUCUGCUCUGGCUGCUGAGUCAACCUGUUCUGCAUUUCAGGCCCUGAACUACCCCUGCCCCUGCCCACCCCCACCCCCCAGCCCCCCAGCGGCUCACGCCUUCCCGGUCUUGUUUUCAGGCUAGUUUUUUGUAAGGAUAUGUUUUAUUUAACCCAACACAUGUAAAAAAAAAAAGUGUGAUUUCAACAUACAGCCAAUACAAAUAAAGUGUU